GAUGAACGCUGGCGGCGUGCCUAAUACAUGCAAGUCGAGCGAACGGACGAGAAGCUUGCUUCUCUGAUGUUAGCGGCGGACGGGUGAGUAACACGUGGAUAACCUACCUAUAAGACUGGGAUAACUUCGGGAAACCGGAGCUAAUACCGGAUAAUAUUUUGAACCGCAUGGUUCAAAAGUGAAAGACGGUCUUGCUGCCACUUAUAGAUGGAUCCGCGCUGCAUUAGCUAGUUGGUAAGGUAACGGCUUACCAAGGCAACGAUGCAUAGCCGACCUGAGAGGGUGAUCGGCCACACUGGAACUGAGACACGGUCCAGACUCCUACGGGAGGCAGCAGUAGGGAAUCUUCCGCAAUGGGCGAAAGCCUGACGGAGCAACGCCGCGUGAGUGAUGAAGGUCUUCGGAUCGUAAAACUCUGUUAUUAGGGAAGAACAUAUGUGUAAGUAACUGUGCACAUCUUGACGGUACCUAAUCAGAAAGCCACGGCUAACUACGUG
rnacentral:rRNA from 1 species